UGGCGGACGGGUGCGUAACACGUGAGGAACAUGACCUUCGGCGGGGGAUAGCCGGCCCAACGGCCGGGUAAUACCGCGUACGACCAUCCGGGGACAUCCCUGGGUGGUGAAAGCAGCAAUGCGCCGAUGGAGUGCCUCGCGGCCUAUCAGCUAGUUGGUGAGGUAACGGCUCACCAAGGCGACGACGGGUAGCUGGUCUGAGAGGAUGGCCAGCCACAUUGGGACUGAGACACGGCCCAGACUCCUACGGGAGGCAGCAGUGGGGAAUAUUGCGCAAUGGACGAAAGUCUGACGCAGCGACGCCGCGUGUGGGAUGACGGUCUUCGGAUUGUAAACCACUGUCGGGAGGGACGAAUACGCCGCAAGGCGGGUGACGGUACCUCCAAAGGAAGCACCGGCUAACUCCGUGCCAGCAGCCGCGGUAAUACGGAGGGUGCGAGCGUUGUCCGGAAUCACUGGGCGUAAAGGGCGCGUAGGCGGCCUGAUAAGUAGGGGGUGAAAUCCUGCGGCUUAACCGCAGGGCUGCCUUCUAAACUGUCGGGCUCGAGCACAGUAGAGGCAGGUGGAAUUCCCGGUGUAGCGGUGGAAUGCGUAGAGAUCGGGAAGAACAUCAGUGGCGAAGGCGGCCUGCUGGGC
rnacentral:rRNA from 1 species